AGUGAACGCUGGCGGUAGGCCUAACACAUGCAAGUCGAACGGCAGCACAGUAAGAGCUUGCUCUUACGGGUGGCGAGUGGCGGACGGGUGAGGAAUACAUCGGAAUCUACUUUUUCGUGGGGGAUAACGUAGGGAAACUUACGCUAAUACCGCAUACGACCUACGGGUGAAAGCAGGGGAUCUUCGGACCUUGCGCGAUUGAAUGAGCCGAUGUCGGAUUAGCUAGUUGGCGGGGUAAAGGCCCACCAAGGCGACGAUCCGUAGCUGGUCUGAGAGGAUGAUCAGCCACACUGGAACUGAGACACGGUCCAGACUCCUACGGGAGGCAGCAGUGGGGAAUAUUGGACAAUGGGCGCAAGCCUGAUCCAGCCAUACCGCGUGGGCGAAGAAGGCCUUCGGGUUGUAGAGCCCUUUUGUUGGGAAAGAAAAGCAGCAGGUUAAUACCCCGCUGUUCUGACGGUACCCAAAGAAUAAGCACCGGCUAACUUCGUG
rnacentral:rRNA from 1 species